rnacentral:rRNA from 1 species
GACGAACGCUGGCGGCGUGCCUAAUACAUGCAAGUAGAACGCUGAAGAGAGGAGCUUGCUCUUCUUGGAUGAGUUGCGAACGGGUGAGUAACGCGUAGGUAACCUGCCUGGUAGCGGGGGAUAACUAUUGGAAACGAUAGCUAAUACCGCAUGAUAUUAAUUAUUGCAUGAUAAUUGAUUGAAAGAUGCAAUUGCAUCACUACCAGAUGGACCUGCGUUGUAUUAGCUAGUUGGUGAGGUAACGGCUCACCAAGGCGACGAUACAUAGCCGACCUGAGAGGGUGAUCGGCCACACUGGGACUGAGACACGGCCCAGACUCCUACGGGAGGCAGCAGUAGGGAAUCUUCGGCAAUGGGGGGAACCCUGACCGAGCAACGCCGCGUGAGUGAAGAAGGUUUUCGGAUCGUAAAGCUCUGUUGUAAGAGAAGAACGGGUGUGAGAGUGGAAAGUUCACACUGUGACGGUAUCUAACCAGAAAGGGACGGCUAACUACGUGCCAGCAGCCGCGGUAAUACGUAGGUCCCGAGCGUUGUCCGGAUUUAUUGGGCGUAAAGCGAGCGCAGGCGGUUAGAUAAGUCUGAAGUUAAAGGCUGUGGCUUAACCAUAGUAUGCUUUGGAAACUGUUUAACUUGAGUGCAGAAGGGGAGAGUGGAAUUCCAUGUGUAGCGGUGAAAUGCGUAGAUAUAUGGAGGAACACCGGUGGCGAAAGCGGCUCUCUGGUCUGUAACUGACGCUGAGGCUCGAAAGCGUGGGGAGCAAACAGG